AAGUCGUAACAAGGUUUCCGUAGGUGAACCUGCGGAAGGAUCAUUACCAAAAGAGAAAAACAAUUUUUGAAAGAGGGAGGGGGAGGUUCGGUGGAGGGAUAUUAGCCUUUGGGUUUUUUCCUUUCCCUUAUCUUUCACUCUUUCUUUCAUCACACACCUUGUGAACCUAACCGUUUGUCCUUGGGGACGCCUUGCCCCAACAAUAUUAUUGAAACACCUUCAAACAUGAACCAUUGAUGGAAACUUUUUUGAUUAAAUAAUCGAGAACAACUUUUAACGGUGGAUCUCUUGGCUCGU
rnacentral:misc_RNA from 1 species